UACAGAGGGUGCAAGCGUUAAUCGGAAUUACUGGGCGUAAAGCGUGCGUAGACGGUUAUGUAAGUCAGGUGUGAAAGCCCCGGGCUCAACCGAUGGAUGCAUUUGAGACUGCAUAGCUAGGGUGCGGAAGAGGGAAGCGGAAUUUCCGGUGUAGCGGUGAAAUGCGUAGAUAUCGGAAGGAACACCAGUGGCGAAAGCGGCUCCUGGUCCAGCACCGACGUCAGGCACGAAAGCGUGGGGAGCAAACAGG
rnacentral:rRNA from 1 species